CAGCACGAAGCUAAGUGAUGAAUGCAGAAUGCAAGCAACAACAAGAAGCAAGCCAAGGGUCAAAAUUCAUGGCACAUAUGUGAACUGAUUACUGGGUGGUUGAUAUCAGACUUGUAUACCGGCACAGUGGGUUUCACUCUGUUUCCUUCGUAGGCUUUCAAGCUGCUGUACGUUCCUCUACUGUGAUUGACCGUCUUCCGGAUCAUUCUCAUGUAACUGCAUGUUGUUCAAGAAACCGUUCACUCGUCCCCUUCCCUUCGGGAUGACUUGUUGCAGGGCUCAUGUUUGCCAGACAGAGGCCAGAGUUAUUCAUCUCAUCAUGCAAACUGAGAACCCAAGACCUUAUUAUUUCUAUUUUCUUGACUACAUACAGAAGGGAUCUUUGUCCAUAAAAAAAUGCGGUGCGAGUAUGAAAAAGGCACCCUCCAGCUCUCAACCUCUCUCGUGUGAUUACCAACCAACUAUGCCAGAAAUCAGCUUGGCUGCCGGGUCUGGUAAGGGGGAAAAUAGGAAAUCAGCCUGGGCUAGUGAGCAUACAGCUAGACAGCUAGUCUGUGAAAAUUUGAACAUCUGUGUGUGAUAUGCCACCUUAAUAGUUUUGAGUGCGUUUUGUCUUAUUCUGGGGUCUGACGAAGGCAAAUGUGUUGUCCUUCAGAUCGUGCUUGUAUCUUCAGGUUAUAUUGCUCCACCUCUGGAGCCUUUCUGUAAGUAGUGGUGUGAUAACUGUGCUGCAUGACUGCAUGAAUCUAAUAGUCUGCACAGCUAGGCUCAAGUUAUUGUGAACUCAAGGUGGACGCCGUUUCCAUGAAGCUUUGUGCUUACAGGCCUACACAACUCAUCAGAGCCGUAUGAGCAACGUGCCUGAACCUUGAC